UACGUAGGUGGCAAGCGUUGUCCGGAAUUACUGGGUGUAAAGGGAGCGUAGGCGGGAAUACAAGUUGGAUGUCUAAUCUACCGGCUUAACCGGUAUUCGCAUUCAAAACUGUAUUUCUUGAGUGAAGUAGAGGCAGGCGGAAUUCCUAGUGUAGCGGUGAAAUGCGUAGAUAUUAGGAGGAACACCAGUGGCGAAGGCGGCCUGCUGGGCUUUAACUGACGCUGAGGCUCGAAAGCGUGGGUAGCAAACAGG
rnacentral:rRNA from 1 species